AGGGUUCGAUCCUGGCUCAGGAUGAACGCUGGCGGCGUGCUUAACACAUGCAAGUCGAACGAACCUUCGGGUUAGUGGCGGACGGGUGAGUAACGCGUGAGAAUCUGCCCUCAGGAGGGGGAUAACGGUUGGAAACGACCGCUAAUACCCCAUAUGCCUACUGGUGAAAUGAAUUUCGCCUGAGGAUGAGCUCGCGUCUGAUUAGCUAGUUGGUGAGGUAAUGGCUCACCAAGGCUUCGAUCAGUAGCUGGUCUGAGAGGAUGAUCAGCCACACUGGGACUGAGACACGGCCCAGACUCCUACGGGAGGCAGCAGUGGGGAAUUUUCCGCAAUGGGCGAAAGCCUGACGGAGCAACGCCGCGUGAGGGACGAAGGCCUCUGGGCUGUAAACCUCUUUUCUCAAGGAAGAAGAUAUGACGGUACUUGAGGAAUAAGCCACGGCUAAUUCCGUGCCAGCCGCCGCGGUAAUAC
rnacentral:rRNA from 1 species